GGGCCCAUAGCUCAGCUGGAAGAGCGCCACAAUGGCAUUGUGGAGGUCGUCGGUUCGAACCCGAUUGGGUCCACCC
rnacentral:tRNA from 2 species